GUUUGCCGUGAAAACCUUACCCCUUUUCAACCACAAUGGAGUCUAGAGAGAUUUACUCCCCUACUACUAAUUCUUACCUAUAAAUUAAUUCGGGUUAUAUUCAGCCUAUAUUUCCCGUUCAUUGCCAACAGUAAUUUGACAUAUUUGUGGCUCAAUUGCUGCAAAGAUUGCAGUUUCUAAAAUCAUAUAUUUGUUCUUAGCUGGCUUCAAUCAGGAAAUUGUUUCAGGCUAUGUAGCACUAAUCUCAUUUUGUCAUUCAAACGCUGCAUUUUUGUUUGGUGAAAAACGACCAACCAAAUUAAGUUCCUCAGGUGUACACCCCUCUCAGAUGGCCUCAAGGAUGCCAUCCCACAUCUGACACCAGUGUAGCCAAUUUCGAGGGGGUAGCACCGACCAGGACUCGAAUCUGGGUCCAGCUACUGUAAAGACCAACACAUGAAUCAUUACGGGAGGAGGUCCAAGUCUCUUUGAGGCAUGACUGAGUAUAAGCUUGUUGUGGUGGGUGCUGGAGGUGUUGGGAAGAGUGCCUUAACUAUCCAGCUCAUCCAGAAUCACUUUGUGGAUGAAUAUGACCCCACCAUCGAGGACUCGUACAGGAAGCAGGUGGUGAUUGACGGAGAGACGUGUCUGCUGGACAUCCUGGACACAGCAGGUCAGGAGGAGUACAGCGCCAUGAGGGACCAGUACAUGAGGACAGGGAAGGCUUCCUUUGUGUGUUCGCCAUCAACAACAUCAAGUCCUUUGAGGACGUUCACCUGUACAGAGAACAGAUCAACAGGGUGAAGGACAGUGACAGUGUGCCUAUGGUGCUGGUGGGGAACAAGAGUGACCUGGGGAGUCGGAGCGUGGAGAGCAGGCAGGCUCAGGAGCUGGCCCGCGGCUAUGGUGUGCCCUUCGUGGAGACCUCUGCCAAAACCAGACAGGGCGUGGAGGAGGCGUUCUACUCUCUAGUCAGAGAGAUCAGGAGGUAUAAGGAAACCAACCGCAGCAACAAGAAGAGCAAGAAAAGCACUCAGAGACGUUGCACCAUUCUAUAACACCACACACACACUGCACAUAGCCCAUAACCCCCCCACACACUGCAGUCCCUUUACCACAUGGGAGACGUUACCUCUUGUAUUGACAAGGGAUCUGGAAUGGUGAACGCAUCAAGUUCCACUUUCUGUCAUUAGUGUCGUUACCGUAGUAACGGAAACUUCACUUCCUGUUGCUUCUCAUUGGCUGCUCCAUUAGAAUUGUGACUUCAGUUUAUCCACGUUGUUUUCUGACAAUUGUAACAAGAAACUAGAAGUUGUAGCGUUGAAGAGGGGAUUUAUAGACUGGGUUUAAAGCUGCCAUCUUCGGUUGGUUUAAAUAUGAACGUCACUUUACUGCCCCUAGUGGUAAAUAUCUGAGGAGUAAUUAAUUGGUUAAUUAAUGGUGUAAGUCUCAUAGCUACACAUUCCAAAUGAUCAUCUUGUUUAUUUUUUCACCCUAAGGGGGAAAAAUGGAUUUUUGGUCUUUGCCAACGUGUUCUGCAUUGCAAGAAGCCAGUGUAGGCUAGCUUUUCUUCCAUUCCAAGGUAGUUUUCUCUUCAGUAUUUACACAAGUGGCUAUCUCUGUUAUUGUUUUUUUAAACGAUUCAGCAGGGUUGUAAUAGAGAAGGUAUUUUGGUCCUCACUAGCCUCACUCUCACUUUCUGUAUUAAAAAUAAUCCAAUCAGAGUCGAAGGCCACAACUCACUAUUGUGUUAUUAGGCAGCGUUUACAUGGGCAGCUCAAUUGGGAUUUUUCCCAAUUAUUGGCAAAAGAGCUGAUCUGAUUGGUCAAAAGACUGCCUGUGUGAACACUGCCUUAUACUGUUGCCAUUUCUAUAGGAUCAUGUCCAAUUAUUUAGGCUAGCUGUUCAGGUCAGUGUCCUAGCUUGAGGUCCAUUAAAGUUAAAGUUGUGCACAUGAA